UGGGUUAGUGGCGGACGGGUGAGUAACGCGUGGAUAACCUGCCGUAUACAGGGGGAUAACACUUAGAAAUAGGUGCUAACACCGCAUAAGCGCACGGUUCCGCAUGGAACAGUGUGAAAAACUCCGGUGGUAUACGAUGGAUCCGUGUCUGAUUAGCCAGUUGGCGGGGUAACGGCCCACCAAAGCGACGAUCAGUAGCCGGCCUGAGAGGGUGAACGGCCACAUUGGGACUGAGACACGGCCCAAACUCCUACGGGAGGCAGCAG
rnacentral:rRNA from 1 species